CCACUCACCAGCAAUGCUAUACUAGGCUUCAGUGUCUUAUGAAGAAUGGUAGUACUUCACAGAGAUUAAGGACCUUUCAUGAAGAAUGCUCCCUAAGCCUAUUUCUACCAUUUAUCUGGAAACCAGUCUGCAAACUUGUGACCUCUUUGUUAUGUUAGAAAACAUAAGCUGUGCUCUCACUUAUAUAAAUCAGUGUUUCUUUCCUCUCCAAAUAUUCCUGGGAACAUUAAUUUGCCUGCUGUUGGCUAGCCAAUCUACCAUCCCCGGAAUUAAAGCCAGAGACUAACAGAAAAUUGAGACUCAAUUUGGGACUUUUUGACAAGGAAAUUAAUGAAA
ensembl:lncRNA novel transcript